AGCGAACGCUGGCGGCAGGCCUAAUACAUGCAAGUCGAACGGUCUCUUCGGAGGCAGUGGCGGACGGGUGAGUAACGCGUGGGAACGUGCCCUUUGGUACGGAACAACUGAGGGAAACUUCAGCUAAUACCGUAUGUGCCCUUCGGGGGAAAGAUUUAUCGCCAUUGGAGCGGCCCGCGUUGGAUUAGCUAGUUGGUGGGGUAAUGGCCCACCAAGGCGACGAUCCAUAGCUGGUCUGAGAGGAUGAUCAGCCACACUGGGACUGAGACACGGCCCAGACUCCUACGGGAGGCAGCAGUAGGGAAUCUUGCGCAAUGGGCGAAAGCCUGACGCAGCCAUGCCGCGUGAAUGAUGAAGGUCUUAGGAUUGUAAAAAUUCUUUCACCGGGGGACGAUAAUGACGGUACCCGGAGAAGAAGCCCCGGCUAACUUCGUGCCAGCAGCCG
rnacentral:rRNA from 1 species